rnacentral:rRNA from 1 species
CCUACGGGAGGCAGCAGUGAGGAAUAUUGGUCAAUGGACGAGAGUCUGAACCAGCCAAGUAGCGUGAAGGAUGACUGCCCUAUGGGUUGUAAACUUCUUUUAUAUGGGAAUAAACUGUUCCACGUGUGGGAUUUUGUAUGUACCAUAUGAAUAAGGAUCGGCUAACUCCGUGCCAGCAGCCGCGGUAAUACGGAGGAUCCGAGCGUUAGCCGGAUUUAUUGGGUUUAAAGGGAGCGUAGGUGGAUUGUUAAGUCAGUUGUGAAAGUUUGCGGCUCAACCGUAAAAUUGCAGUUGAAACUGGCAGUCUUGAGUACAGUAGAGGUGGGCGGAAUUCGUGGUGUAGCGGUGAAAUGCUUAGAUCUCACGAAGAACUCCGAUUGCGAAGGCAGUUCACUGGACUGCAACUGACACUGAGGCUCGAAAGUGUGGGUAUCAAACAGGAUUAGAUACCCCGGUAGUC